AGUUGAAUGACAUACGCCUCUUCGAGAAUCACCACAGCCUUCGAACAUAAAGGUUGCAUAGGCUACUCUUAGAUUAGCAACCUUGAGGGAAACAAGAGAGCAUUUCAACGGUAACACCGUCUGAUGCCAUACGCAAUUCACACGCCACAAAUAGUUGUUUGUGAUUAGGUUUGAAUGGAAGGAUGACUGCACACAAAAUUACUCAUCGAAGGGCAUCGAAAACCAGCCACAUCUACCAGUUCAUAGAUUUUCAACACAACGACGUCGUUUGGAAAAAAAAAAACCGAAUGGAGAGACGACGUCUGCCAGGCAAAAUCAUGACAGAGGAUCCGCAACUAAGGGCCUAAGCUGUCCUACCCUUCUGAUUAUCAGAUGCAACACUUCACCUUCAAAAUGGAAACCUAUUCUGCCUGGUUUGUUUAGAUUUAAUGUCAUUGGAUCUUCUCCCGGCUAGGUCUUGCUGGUGUAGCUGGAAUUUUCUGAAUUAUGAGGUUACACAAGUUCCUUUAGUCUCAUCAUUCUUUGAUUCUUU